rnacentral:rRNA from 1 species
ACUGCGAAUGGCUCAUUAAAUCAGUUAUCGUUUAUUCUGUAUAGUACCUUACUACAUGGAUAACCGUGGUAAUUCUAGAGCUAAUACAUGCUAAAAACCCCGACUUCGGAAGGGGUGUAUUUAUUAGAUAAAAAACCAAUGCCCUUCGGGGCUCCUUGGUGAAUCAUAAUAACUUAACGAAUCGCAUGGCCUUGCGCCGGCGAUGGUUCAUUCAAAUUUCUGCCCUAUCAACUUUCGAUGGUAGGAUAGUGGCCUACCAUGGUAUCAACGGGUAACGGGGAAUUAGGGUUCGACUCCGGAGAGGGAGCCUGAGAAACGGCUACCACAUCCAAGGAAGGCAGCAGGCGCGCAAAUUACCCAAUCCCGACACGGGGAGGUAGUGACAAUAAAUACUGAUACAGGGCUCUUUUGGGUCUUGUAAUUGGAAUGAGUACAAUUUAAAUCCCUUAACGAGGAACAAUUGGAGGGCAAGUCUGGUGCCAGCAGCCGCGGUAAUUCCAGCUCCAAUAGCGUAUAUUAAAGUUGUUGCAGUUAAAAAGCUCGUAGUUGAACCUUGGGCCUGGCUGGCCGGUCCGCCUCACCGCGUGUACUGGUCCGGCCGGGCCUUUCCUUCUGGGGAACCUCAUGCCCUUCACUGGGCGUGCUGGGGAACCAGGACUUUUACUUUGAAAAAAUUAGAGUGUUCAAAGCAGGCCUUUGCUCGAAUACAUUAGCAUGGAAUAAUAGAAUAGGACGUGUGGUUCUAUUUUGUUGGUUUCUAGGACCGCCGUAAUGAUUAAUAGGGAUAGUCGGGGGCAUCAGUAUUCAAGCGUCAGAGGUGAAAUUCUUGGAUUGCUUGAAGACUAACUACUGCGAAAGCAUUUGCCAAGGAUGUUUUCAUUAAUCAGUGAACGAAAGUUAGGGGAUCGAAGACGAUCAGAUACCGUCGUAGUCUUAACCAUAAACUAUGCCGACUAGGGAUCGGACGGUGUUAGUAUUUUGACCCGUUCGGCACCUUACGAGAAAUCAAAGUUUUUGGGU